AGAGUUUGAUCCUGGCUCAGAGCGAACGCUGGCGGCGUGCUUAACACAUGCAAGUCGAACGUGAAAGGGAGCAAUCCCGAGUAAAGUGGCGUACGGGUGAGUAACGCGUAGGUAAUCUACCCCAGAGUCUGGAAUAACCUGCCGAAAGGCGGGCUAAUACUGGAUAGAGCGACAGAAUCCGCAAUUGGGUUUUUCGGGAA
rnacentral:rRNA from 1 species